UUUUUCCUGCACCCGGGACGUAGACAGGCGAGUACAGCGGAAGAACAGCAAGGAAAACGGAAAAGGAACAUUAAAAUCUAUCUACAUUACCUCUUCAAACUUCUUUGUGAUGAGCGUGAAUGCCGAGAAGAUCGCGCUGGUCGUGCCCGACACAGUGACAAUGCGCUCCGGGCAUGAACCGUCCGAGAUGUUGAUCUUUGCGCCAGACUAUGCCGUGGAAAAUGUGACGAAAAGAGUAUGAAAAUAUCAAAUUGUAUUAAUUUAUAAAAACAACAAAUACAAAAAAGAAAUUAUAUAAUUACCUCCUCACGAAAUCUGUUCACAAUCUCGCCCUUUUUGCCAAUAAUGCUGCCGACUUCCUGCAAAUAAACAAAAAUACAACAUCAAUAAAGGUUUUUGACAAUCACCAAAAAUA